rnacentral:rRNA from 1 species
UACAGAGGUCUCAAGCGUUGUUCGGAUUCAUUGGGCGUAAAGGGUGCGUAGGUGGCGCGGUAAGUCGGGUGUGAAAUUUCGGAGCUUAACUCCGAAACUGCAUUCGAUACUGCCGUGCUUGAGGACUGGAGAGGAGACUGGAAUUUACGGUGUAGCAGUGAAAUGCGUAGAGAUCGUAAGGAAGACCAGUGGCGAAGGCGGGUCUCUGGACAGUUCCUGACACCGAGGCACGAAGGCCAGGGGAGCAAACGGG